CCAAACAGACGCUACGUAGUGCGGUAAAAUUUGUAACUGUUCCAGCGGUUUACACUGAGGACAUUUUUGCAGAGCGAGCAAAGGACAUAAGGACAGUUGGAUUGUCAGACAGCUAGUUGGUGGUAGUGAAAUAAAAUUAAAAUUUUAACUGAAUUUGAAAAGUUAUCCUCAACUUAAAAUUCCAUUGUGUUUGAAAUAAAAAAAAAAAAUUAAAAGCAGUGACAAACAGUAUAAAAAAUGAUAUAAUCCUCUUUAAUGCAAAUCAAAUACAAGUUACAAGCUUAUAGGCUUAUGUGCCGCUUGUGAAUUCUUAAAAAUAAGUGGAAUUUUUUUUUGUUGUCUUUACCUUUACUCGGAACUUUUUUCGGCAGCAUAGCGCGUUGAAAUAUAAAACAUUGAACUGUACGAGUAUUUAGAACCAGCAAAUGUCGUUGUGAACUACAAUAAAGGCAACAAUUAAAAUGUUUAAACAAUUAUGACAAACGCUACAUAAAAACUAUACAACCUACAGCUUCCCUUUAUCUUCACAAUCCCUAAUUACAUACAAAUUACUCCCUAAAAAAAUACUGUUAAGCAUUUUAUUGAAAA